GGUUCAUGGUUUCCUGUAUCAAACUUCUUGCAUCUCACAAACACAAAAUACCUUUCCUUGUCAAAUUAUCAUUUCAAUUCAGAUCCGCCUCAAAAUCGUUGACAACCAAUGAUUUAUGAUUUGGAGACGGAUCGGAAUUGAAUAGAUGAUUGGACAUCUCACAAAAUCAAAAUACUUUUCUUUGUCAAGUUAUCUGUUCAAUUCAGAUCCGUCUCGAAACCGUUGACAACCAAUGAUUUAUGGUUUGGAGACGGAUCGGAAUUGAAUAGAUGAUUGAACAUCUCACAAAAUCAAAAUACUUUUCCUUGUCAAGUUAUCUGUUCAAUUCAGAUCUGCCUCGAAACCGUUGACAAACAAUGAUUUAUGGUUUGGAGACUGAUCGGAAUUGAGUAGAUGAUUGGAUAACACAAAGUUAAUUGGUUUGGUUGUACGGUCGGCUCUCUAAGGCAAUUUGGGUGGAUCGUCAAGUAAUCAAGGAGGAACGGAUAAUCGGUUGAAAUGAAAGCUUUAAAGGUACGUGGCUAUGCGUGUGACACCCCAGGAAAACCAGGAAACCACGCAACCCAACUAGCUUCCUAAGUGACUACGUGCUAAAUUUCGGGACGAAAUUUCUUUUAAGUUGGGGAUAAUGUAACAACUCGAGUUUUUAAAGUCUUUUCUCGAUAUGUUAUCUGUUUCACAAUUGUGGUCUUGUAACUUGUUGCUUUGUAAUUGUGCAUGUUGGUUAAAUGUUUGGAA